ACCGGAAGGCAGACACAUCUGCCCGACAGCAAGAGGUGACCCCUGGACACAGCCAACUCAUACUGCCGUGUGAACAGGGUGGAGAGCAGGACGUUACGGAAAGCACCAUGUGACUUAUUUUGACAGGCGUCAUUGAAGAACGACUUCAAAAUUCGCUGAGGGGCAACAGACAGUCGGCUAGAGAGAACUGUGUUUUCCCAGAAGGGAUGCUUCUUUUGUCAAUGCCAAAUACCAUCCCCUACCCCCCGUGUUUUCUCAGCUCCUUCUCCAGCACCACGCCUGCCUGCCUGCUGCCAUGCCCUGCAAUGAUGGUCAUGGAGUCUAACCCUCUGAAACCGUAAGCCCCGGAUAAACUUUCCUGUGUAAGUCGCCUUGGUUAUGGUUUUAUCACAGCAAUGGGAAAGUAACUAAGACACAUUGGGGAAAAUACUUUCUUGUGUUUUGUUGAUGUUUGAUUCUUUCUUUUUGAAAUUAAGUUUUGUUUUUUUU